GGGGACUCAUGGAAGGGAGAGAGAAAGCCUGAUCGGGCUGCUGGACCUCCACUUCAGGUCGCCUCUGGCCAUGGGAAGCCCCUCACUGCGGACUUUUUGAGGAAUGAACCACGCUGGAAAACAUGCACAUCCAAGUGACACAACUCUAUUUGGGAUUGCUUUCUGUGCCAAAUGUCUCCACACGUUUGUCCAGAACAGGGCUGAGCAGCCAGGAACCAACAAGCGGCCUCCUCAAACAUUAGGUUGAGGAAACAGAUCUGCAC